CAAACAUUACCGCGUUAGUUUAGCUAGCGACAUUUUUUGAAUGUUUAUAUGUAUUGGUAGCAGAUUAUAAAUAAAAAUGAGCGACGAAGCAGUAUUUGAAACAAUUGAAGAGGUCAAUAAGCAUAUCUCACACACGUGGAAGAGUCAACCUGUGUGAAAUAUAUUUCUUACCGUGUGGACAAGCGAUUCAAUGACCAAGGAAAAAGAUGGCAAGGAAAAAAGAAACCUGUUGCUGAAAACCAAGAAAGUAGCAUGCCCUGCUGUGUUCACAAUCAGCCGCAUUGUGAAGUUCCCUGGAUUCAAGUUGGAGAAGGACACAUCACGGUUGAGGAGGGUCAUGUCUAUUUCCAUCAAACAAGCUCUCCAGACAGACCCAGCCUCAGUGCAGUGGAAGAUACAGUAUUUCCUCAAAAUACCCAGUGUCACUGACCACAAGGGCCAUCCUAUUGGAAAGGGUGCAGAUCAGAUGGACGACAGGGUCAAAGGUUACAUCCGAGCGUUGGUGCAGCAGGGGGUGAGGAAGGUGAAGGAGGUAAAGAACCUGAUGGUCCAGUACGUGCGGACGGAGCUGUUCCAAGACACGACCCCGCCGCCGCUGAGGCGCUUCUUCCCCACAGAGAAAACCAUCCAUGCCGUCAUGGCUCAGGUCAUCGCGGAAGAACACUACAGCAAAAUAGACCUGGUCAACCUGCUGACCUUGGCAGAGAAUUGGAAGGCAGAAGCUCCUAGAAUCAACUUCCUGCUUAGGGUUCAAUCAGAGAGCGAGAACCUGUUGCUCUGCUACCAGGCGGACUGGCAGCGGCAGUUGCUUCGGCAGUAUGGCAAGGAGGUGUGCUUCCUGGACGCGGCCUAUAAGAGGACGCGCUUCCCCCUGCCACUCUUCUUCCUGUGCGUGCGCACCAAUGUGAGCGUGGCGCCGGUGGGCCUGUUUGUCGUGCAGUCGAGGAGCGCCGAAGCCUUGGGGGAGGCGCUGGGGGUGUUCAGGCAGUGGAACCGGGGCUGGAGCCCAGCCUACAUCCUCACUGAACACUGCCCUGUGGAGAUGAAGGCGGUGGAGGCAGCAUUCACAGGUGCUCAGGCAGUCUUCAGCGAUCACCUGCGGGAGAGGACCUGGACCAAGUGGCUGAGCAACCGGUCCCGAGCCAUCACCAACCAGGAGGGGAUCUUUGAUAUGAUGAAGGCCAUCGCUGGUGCCCUUACCAGAGAGCAACACCAGGGGGCAGUAGAACUACUACAGCAGAGCCCCAUCUGGUUGGAAAAGAGACAACUUUUCAAGAACUGGUUCACUAACAAGUGGCUGUCAGAGGAGAAGAGAUGGGCGAACGCUGUGAGGGUUGAUAUUGUCAACUUUGUGUCUAUGGUGAACGGAGGUCUGGAAAUGCAGAGUGACUUUUUCACACAUAAUAACAUGAAGGUCCAUAAAAAAGACACCCUGAGCCAAAUGCUGCAGUUUCUUGUUGACGACUACUUCCCACAGAUGUACCAAAGGUACACAGACCUCAACAGCCAGUCCUCUGGCGAGUACAACCUCAACCCCACUGUGCUUCCGUUCCUGUGGCAUCGCCCUUGGAGUGUGGUGGCCCUGGUGAUGGACAACAUGUCUGCGGCCCUGCAAGACCCCGACAUCGUGGUGGAGCAGGCCAGCGACGCCGCCACCGGCACCUUCCGGGUGAAGAGUCGGGCAGAGACCACGGCAGCGCGGUCCUACGCGGUCAGCUUCGGUUCAGAGUCCACCUGGCCCUCCUGUGAGUGUGAGGUGUGGAGGGACCAGCGCCUGCCCUGUGAACACUUCUGUCACGUCUUCAGGUCUGAGCCUAACUGGACCUGGGAGCACCUGUGUCCCAAAUACAGGGACCACCCUCUGCUCACGCUGCAUUCACAGACCACUCACACCACAACAGAGGAGAUGGAGGAAGCCCUCAAUGGCCUAAUGCAUCUCUCCCCAGCUUCCCCAGUCUCUCUUCAGUGGGAUGGGCCUGAAGAAACAGUGCCACUGGUGCAAACUCCUCAAACUCCACAGUUACAACUGCAUAGCAUACAAACACAGUGGGUGGCCCCACAGGCUUCACAGGGUCUGCGGGAGAGGGAGGAACUGCAAAAGGAGGAACUGCAGAGGGAGUGUGUGGCCAAACUCAAAUCCAUCAUGGAGAAUGUGAGCGGGAUCAACGACAUUGACCACCUACAGGAGCUCAGGCAGAAACUGGACGUUCUCCAGGCUCAGAGUGAGGCCAUGCUGGUUCAGAAGGACGCUAGCGUCAAAACAGUUACCACCCCUACGGGGAAGAGAAAAAGGGCAGGGAUGGAGAUUAUCGUGGCCAUGCCCAAACGCAUCAAAGUGCUCUCCCGGGUUGAUGUAGAAAAUGUUCAGAAAUAGCUUUUUUCUAAAAAGGGAAAAUAAAGAAUGUUCAGUAUUAAAAGGCAACUCUGCCACUUUUAACUUGUGGGUUGUUUUUAUGUAGUAUUUAGUGUUGUCCUACACAGUUUGUAUACUUUUAAAAAUGUAAUGUCUAUUGCCUCUCUUUGUGAUGAGCAAAUCUGGAAAUUGCUUGUCUGACGUUUUAAGUAAGAUCCCUGAGAUAACUAAUAAAAUAAUAGUCAGUCAUUUAUUCGUUUAUAUAACCCCUAUGUAGUGUUCUGAUCACGAACUCCCUGCUAUAUGUAACUCUGGUUGUCUUCAUCUAACAAAGGUCACUUUGUUAGGAUGUGGUAGCAUUGUAUCCAGUUCUGGGUCAGCUUGAUUUAAGGCACUGCGCAGGUUCACGAAUCUUCCCAUAGCAAAUUAAUAAAUCAGUUACUGCAUAGUGGUUUGGAAGUUAAGAUUAUUUAUUUUGUGUUCGGAUAAUACGCACAUUAGCUUGCUUAACCUGAUGAGUAACUGGCAUCAAUCAACGCAUUUCCCUUAAGUGAAUUAAUUGCGUAAUUAUUUCAGCUUUCCAGGGGCUCACCUGAUUUUGUGAUGGGCGUAUAAGUGCACAUCAUUUCGACGUUACAAAAUUGUAUGGAUUGACCUCAAACGCUUCUACUAUAUGGGCAGUGGUUCCCAAUAGUUGAGCUAGCUAGCUGUGCCCAGAUACCGCACAGUGUGAAUAUAGCCAGACAAUUAUUCGCCAAUCGAAAUCCCGAUCACACUUGUAGGCGAUGUCAUGGCAACGUUUGCAAGCUAAACUCGUAGAAACCAAUACAAACCCUGGCCGAUCGGCCAUAUUGGCACUCCGUAGUAGGAGCAGUCCUCCAUAGGAAUGAAUGGAAUUCUACAGUAUUUCAAUGACAUGUUUCAAGGACAAAAUUACAUUUAUUUCGUUGUUGUAAUGGGGACGGUGACAUUGGUAAUCUCUAAAAGUUAAACGUUUGGGGUCACUUAAAUGUCCUUGUUUUUGAAAAAAGCACUUUUGUCCAUUAAAAUAUCAAAUUGAUCAGAAA
ensembl:lncRNA